rnacentral:rRNA from 1 species
AUUGAACGCUGGCGGCAGGCCUAACACAUGCAAGUCGAACGGUAACAGGAAGCAGCUUGCUGCUUCGCUGACGAGUGGCGGACGGGUGAGUAAUGUCUGGGAAACUGCCUGAUGGAGGGGGAUAACUACUGGAAACGGUAGCUAAUACCGCAUAACGUCGCAAGCCAAAGAGGGGGACCUUUCGGGGCCUCUUGCCAUCGGAUGUGCCCAGAUGGGAUUAGCUAGUAGGUGGGGUAACGGCUCACCUAGGCGACGAUCCCUAGCUGGUCUGAGAGGAUGACCAGCCACACUGGAACUGAGACACGGCCCAAACUCCUACGGGAGGCAGCAGUGGGGAAUAUUGGGCAAUGGGCGCAAGCCUGACCCAGCAACGCCGCGUCGAAGGAGAAGGCUUCGGGUGUAAACUCUUUGUCAGGGACGAGUAGAAGACGGUACCUGACGAUAAG